AUGGAGCACAGUUCCGGGGCCCUAGGAGGAGCUCAGAGGACCUGUGGGAAAUGUUCCCAUGGGCAAUGACUCCCUGAAUGUAACGUCGCAUGUGACCUUGGAGGGAAAGACCCCAUAGAAACCUAAUCAUAUUCAAGGGAAAGGAGCUUGGCUUUCCUGGGCACAGCCUAAUGGUGUUGGUGACUGGGAUAGGAAGGGGACUCAGCUUCUAUUGUAUCAUGUUCUCAUCGAUUCCUCCUUAUCCUGACUGUGAGCCCAAGAGGGCAGGGACCAAGGUCCUAAUGUAUCCCAG